rnacentral:rRNA from 1 species
UACAGAGGGGGCAAGCGUUGUUCGGAAUUACUGGGCGUAAAGGGCGCGUAGGCGGCCUUCUAAGUCGAACGUGAAAUCCCCGGGCUCAACCCGGGAACUGCGUCCGAUACUGGAAGGCUUGAAUCCGGGAGAGGGAUGCGGAAUUCCAGGUGUAGCGGUGAAAUGCGUAGAUAUCUGGAGGAACACCGGGUGGCGAAGGCGGCAUCCUGGACCGACACUGACGCUGAGGAGCGAAAGCCAGGGGAGCAAAGCGGG